AGCCAUGCCGCGUGUGUGAAGAAGGCCUUCGGGUUGUAAAGCACUUUCAGCGAGGAGGAAAGGUUAGUGGUUAAUAGCCACUAGCUGUGACGUUACUCGCAGAAGAAGCACCGGCUAACUUCGUGCCAGCAGCCGCGGUAAUACGAGGGGUGCAAGCGUUAAUCGGAAUUACUGGGCGUAAAGCGUGCGUAGGUGGUUUGUUAAGCAAGAUGUGAAAGCCCUGGGCUCAACCUGGGAACUGCAUUUUGAACUGGCAAGCUAGAGUUUUGUAGAGGGUAGUGGAAUUUCCAGUGUAGCGGUGAAAUGCGUAGAGAUUGGAAGGAACAUCAGUGGCGAAGGCGGCUACCUGGACA
rnacentral:rRNA from 1 species